rnacentral:miRNA from 1 species
CGAGAAACAACAUUUUGGGGG